UUUUUUUUUUUUUUUUUUUGAGAAGGAGUCUCGCUCUGUCGUGCCAGGCUGGAGUGCAGUGGCGUGAUCUUGGCUCACUCCAAGUUCCGCCUCCCAGGUUCACGCCAUUCUCCUGCCUCAGCCUCCCGAGUAGCUGGGACUACAGGCGCCCGCCACCACGCCCGGCUAAUUUUUUGUAUUUUUAGUAGAGAUGGGGUUUCACCGUGUUAGCCAGGAUGGUCUUGAUCUCCUGAACUCGUGAUCCGCCCGCCUCAGCCUCCCAAAGUGCUGGGAUUACAGGCAUGAGCCACCGUGCCCAGCCGAAGGCUUAUUUUUUUCCAUAUUGAUAUCCAGUUGUCUUAUCACUUUUUAGUGAAAAGACCAUCCUUUCUUGUGCAGUGCCACCUUAACUAUAAAUUAAGUGUUCAUAAAAUGGGUGUCUAUUUCUGGGCCUUCUCUUCUUUGCCAUUGAUUUCUUUUUCUAUUACUUACCAGUAUUCUAUUAAUAUCCAGUAGAGCAAAUCUUUCAAUCUUGUUUUUCUUCUUAAAGAUUAAGUUUUUGGUUAUUCUUGGUCUUUAGUGUUUCCAUAUAAAUGUCAUUUAUUAAGUAUUUUUGCAAUUUGAUUUCCAACUUAAUUGCUCUGUAGUAAGAAAACAUACUUUGUAUGAUUUCAGUCCUUUUAAAUUUGAGAGGUUUUUAGUGUAUCUCAACAUGUGGUAAAUUUUAAUAAAUAUUCUGUGUCUUCUUGAAAAGGAUAUAUCUCCAAAAAAAGUUUUAAUUUGAAAGAUGUUCUAUAUAUAAGUAGAAAAAUAAGAGGAAACUCAGAUCACAAAAUAUAGAAAUGUCUAUGGGGCAAAGAAAAAUGCCAGAAACUUACCAAACUGUCUUAAGUGCAGGCUUCAUCGCUGAUCCCUGGCAUAAUACUCCUUCGCACAGAACUCCAUAAGUAUGUGCUGAUGUUUUUAGGUAUCAAAGUCAUGUGACUUAGCAUUACUUGAGACAAAAUAUUUUUUUCUUUUGCCUUGGGUGUACCAGCUGUUGGCUAAUAACUCCAAGAAUAGGAUGUUAUUAAACUUUAGAAACAUUUGCUUUCAGGAUCUGCCAGAUCAUCUUUUGGAGAUCAGAAGCUUGAACUUUCCAGUUCAUCCCAGCCUGGAUCCAGUUAUGAUGUAUAUAACCUGUUCUGUAUGUAUCAGCACAUUUCACCUGAUUUGAGUCUACGUUUUCCUCCCUGCUCAGAAGUGACGAGACUGUAAGGAUCAGGGUCUCACUUUGUCCCCCAGGCUGGAGUGCAGUGGCGUGAUCUCACCUCACUGCAGCAUCACCCUCCCAGGAUCGAGGGAUUCUCACACCUUGGGACCCCCACCCCCCAGCAGCUGGGACUACAGGCAUGUGCCACAGGCACACGCCUGAGUAAUUUUUUUGUAUUUAUUGUUGAGACAGGGUUUCACCAUGUUACCCAGGUUGGGCUCGAAGUCCUGGGCUGAAGCAAUUCCCCUGCCUUGGUCUCCCAAAUUGCUGGGAUUACAAGCGUGCACCACUGCACCCAGCCCAGAAUAUUUUGCAUACAUUUUGCCUGUCAUUUGUCUAUUUAUAAAUUCUACAACAGAUAUUCGUACAUAGAUAUGUUGUACAAAACACAAUAUUUUUUCAUUUCUUCUGUAUUCAGUGAAAAUGAUAAAUUUAGAAACUCAUGAUGUGAUUAGAAAUAUAAACAAAGAAAAUGCUUAAAUGAUUAUCGAACUUUUUUAGUUUCAUAUUUGAGACUGUAUGAAUUAUAGUCUACCAUGUUUGCCUGUGAUUCACAAAAUUCUGUUUUUCAGGAUAUAUAUAUAUAUAUAUAUCAACCACUGAAUUUAGUGUAAGGUACUGAAAAUAAAGAAGAAAUACUUA